UUUUAGUUUCCAUCAUUUUUUUUAAAAAAAAAUUAUUAAUAUUUUUUUUUAUCAAUGAUAAGAGCAAACAAAGCAAAACUCCUAGACCUGAAGAAAGAACGAGGCCAAUGACGGGAAGGCAGUGAGGUUGGUUACACAGAGAAAAAGACAGUCUCGACCCACCACCACUUAGGCCAGAGGGGAACCUGCUUGGAAAACACCAUAUAUAGCCAACAAGGGACCCACCACUUCACCACCACCUAGGCCAGAGGAUAACCUGCUUGGAAAACACCAUAUAUAGCCAACAAGGGAAAUGAGAUGCAUGUACUGUAGCACCUACUGCCUGACAAGCUUCUGCUCCUUAGAGCACCACCUCUCACCCACUACNNN
rnacentral:lncRNA from 1 species